AAAUUACAGAAGUUUGACAAAAUGGACAGUGAUUAUGUAUUCAAGAUUUUGCUCAUUGGCGAUUCCGGAGUAGGAAAAUCGAGUUUGAUGCUGAAUUUUACGGUAAGUUAUUAAACUUGUUCACAUAUUUUCCAGUCAACUUUUUAAAAAUCUCUUUCCAACGUAACAAACUCUAAUUAUUUCCUUUUUAAAAUGUAAAAAGGCGCAUUGUGGCAUAGUGAGUAUGUCGUUCAGGAUGCAAAAAUUAUUAAUAUCUUUCAGGCAAAAGGACUUUGUUUUAGGAUAAAUACAGCAUAUUAGUUGUUAAAAUUGUUGUUGUAAAGUUGUAAAGCUUUUAAUCUGUGUAUUAUACACGGAACUGAUUUUAAGCCGCUGUAUAGUAUGUAAUAACAUCAGUAAUAUUAUCCAUGUACAAUUUAUCUUCCAGGAUGAAUGUUUCACUGAGACAUAUAUAAGUACAAUCGGCGUAGAUUUUAAAAUCCGGACACUAGAAGUUGACGGGAAAACGGUGCGUCUACAAAUUUGGGAUACUGCAGGCCAGGAAAGAUUCAAAACCAUUACAACAGCUUACUACAGAAACGCCAAUGGAAUCUUGAUAAUCUAUGACAUCACUGACAAAGAUUCUUUCAAAAACGUCUCCAAAUGGCUGGAAGAUAUUGAUCAUUACUCCAAUGAAAAGGUUUACAAAGUUUUGGUGGGAAACAAAGCCGAUUUACACCCAAAGAGAGCGGUAGAUUACGCCGAAGCUAAGGUCAGAUAUUGCUUCUUUGUGGUCUAUCUCCCAAUCUAUUACAUCAAUCAUGAUUCAAAAAAAUCUCAUAACCUCUUAUGCCCCUCCACCUUCAGCGGUUUCAACGCCUAUGAUGUGAACAUGAUACAGUAGUAAUUUUGUUAUCAUCGCUUAUAUUUUCAGAACUUUGCAGAUACACACAACAUUUCUUUAAUGGAAACAAGUGCCAAAACUUCCAACAACGUGGAACAACUAUUUGCGACUCUAGCGUCUGACCUCAAGCAUGCCAGUGAAAAUGGGCACAUAAAGGAUGACACGCCCACCAUAACAAUCAAUGCAGGGAGUUCUCACAAAAAGCAAGGGUGCUUCUGUAGUUAAACUAAAAUCCACAAAAACGUCCAUUCUUAACAUUCCAGUGUUUGUUUCUGCCUGAAGAAACUUGCAGAUGUUCCCUCAAUGAUGAACAUAAAGUGCUUUGUUUAGAAUCUUAAAAAUUCUUGUCCGUCUUUUUGUAUUGCUACAAUUUGAAAUAUUCUUGUAUUUUGUUUUUUGUUCCCUGUUUUUCUGAUGACUCCACUUCAAUGAUAUUCAAUGUUCAUUUAACUUUGAAAAUAAUGACUGCAAUAGCAAAAAAAAGUUACUUCUUGCAGACUUUGACAAGAAGCAUCAAUUACAAUGCUGUGAUACAUAUUUUAUAAUCAUUUCAUUAUGUGCAAUAUCUCUGAGUAUGUUACAUGUACAUAUAUCAUAUUUCAUAAUAUACGAUUGGAUGCGAUCUUAUUCUACAAGUUGUGUGCUUUACAUUCUUUGGCCUUUGCAAAGAUGUUAAUUACGGCACCCAAUUAAAAAAAAGUCAUUCAAUAUCAUAUUUAUUUUGUACACCAUUUUUUGUACUUUUGUAAAAUGAAAUCACAAGCCAUUUGACAACAGUGUAAUGGUAGAAAACUAUCAUAUGAAUGAAAGCCAAGACAAAGUCUAGGCAGACAUGUGAUACAAUAUUUUGUUACAUUUGCUUUGAAACGUAUUUACUGAAAUAAAAUGUUACAG
rnacentral:misc_RNA from 1 species